GGCUGUCGCUGACCUUUUCGGUCGUGCACGCCCGAGUGCUCUCACACAAUCCAUCUCACCCCUUGUGCACCACCGCGUGGGUCCCUCUCUGGCUCGUCCGGAGGGGGGCUCGCGUUUUCACACAAACUUGAAGUAGUGUAGAAUGUCCUUUUUUGCGAUAACACGCAAUCAAUACAACUUUCAACAACGGAUCUCUUGGCUCUCGCAUCGAUGAAGAACGCAGCGAAAUGCGAUACGUAAUGUGAAUUGCAGAAUUCAGUGAAUCAUCGAAUCUUUGAACGCACCUUGCGCCCCUUGGCAUUCCGAGGGGCACACCCGUUUGAGUGUCGUGAAAUUCUCAAAACCCUUUCUUUUGGUCAUUUUUGACCAUGGAAAGGAUUUUGGACUUGGAGGCCUUUUUGCUGGUUUCAACCUUGAAGCGAGCUCCUCCCAAAUGUAUUAGUGGGGUCUGCAUUGUCGGUCCUUGGCGUGAUAAGUUGUUUCUACGUCUUGGAUUUUU
rnacentral:misc_RNA from 1 species